rnacentral:rRNA from 1 species
CCCUUAGAUGUCCUGGGCUGCACGCGCGCUACACUGAUGUGUCCAGUAAGCACCUAACCUCUUCCGAAAGGAACGGGUAACCUUUGCAAAGCACAUCGUGAUGGGGAUAGAUUAUUGCAAUUAUUAGUCUUGAACGAGGAAUUCCUAGUAAGUGUAGGUUUAUAAGUUGUUCUGAUUACGUCCCUGCCCUUUGUACACACCGCCCGUCGCUCCUACCGAUUGAUUGAUCCGGUGAAUUACAUAGAAUUUUGCGUUUUACAUGACGGAAGAUGAAGUGUUUUAAACCUUAUCAUUUAGAGGAAGGAGAAGUCGUAACA